AUUUGCAGAAUGUCGGCCAAAAUCCAUCUCGUUCCAUCUUCUCCCACUGUCCGCCAGUGGUCUUCCUCUCAGUACCAUAUUUGGUAGCGAGUGGAAACGUCAAGCGGAUGCUUCACAUUUAAACAUCCAGUGAAAUAUCUGUCUCAUUGUUCUAUCUGUGAUGUCACCUUCAUAGUUUUUUUAUCUGCUUUGUACGUGCGUUUUUUUUAAAAGAUUUGCUGUCGAAAAUAAACCAACAUUUUCUAAAACAUUGUACACAGUUUGACUGUGUGUAGCCUACCAGAAUGUGGUUCUSUUGAGGAGAAUGUCAAACAGAGCAGCAGCGCCCUCUUCAGGGCAGUUUGGGCAGCGUCUGCGUUGCGUCUCUGCACUCGUGCAGGGCCUGCGCACGCUAGUACACGUCACCACAUUUGCCAGCAGAGAAUCCCUGCCCAGAGCUGCGAAGCAGCGUUGCGCAGACAUGCUUGGUAAAGUACGCAGCCAUUUCUCUUCAGCUUGUUGUAAAGUCACAGGUCCGAGAAUGCAAAUACUGAAAUAGUGGCUGAUGUUGGGGUUUGUAGGCGAAUUUAUUUAUCUAAAUGAAAGACUAAAACUUUUUCCUUCUCAUAAGCAUUGAGAGAAACAGCCACAUAGGCAGCCUAUUUAGACGUGAUCGAGCAAUUCCAUAACCAAGACAGUGCGCUUGGUAGACGCGGUAAUGUCGUUGAAUAUCACUGUGAAAAGUGAAGACUCCGAGUCCUUUGACGAAGACGAAUCAUCUUCGCUGCUUUCGGGCAAAAGAGCCUCGGAGUCUGCAGCUCGUCAUGAUAUUUCUCCGGGAGAAGGCGGUCCAAUAGAAGACCAUGCAGGAUAUUCAACACAGCAUGGGCGGCUAGCAACUAAAACGACCAGCAAACCCAUCGUACUGUAUCCUGUGAGUGCUGRCCGUUUCUUUUCCUCUACUUCUGCAGAUGGCAAAACCAUCUUAAAGAUAGCCCCAGCCGCAGUCAUGACCCUCCCGACUCCUCGGCCUCCUCCCCAGGUUUCCCCAGAGUUCUCCUACCAGGCCAUCGUGUACUUGAUCGAAGCAGUGGGGCGCCGCUGGAGCCUGUAUGGGACGCGGGAGCGUUCUCAGCUCUUCCAGAGCGUGCAGAAGGAGUUGGAGGAGCAGGGUCAUUGUCUUCCCGUUGAGAAGAUCCGCCGCAAGUGGAACAACUUGAUCGUCACCUACAAGAGGGUCAAAUACAGAGGCAGGGAGACCGGCCAGGCCAGAACCUCCUGGGAGUACUUUGAGAUGAUGGAUGCCAUGCUUGGUGACACCAUCGGCGCCGAGACCACUAGCAGCCCUACCCUAGUAACCAGCAUCCCUAAGGUGAACGUCGCCACGGAAACCGCCAAAACAGACCAGAAGCCCCUCCUUCCCCAUGGCAACCUCAUCACUGCAUGCACUCGGACACUCACCCUUGUCCCCUCCUCCCUCCCACUCCACACACCAGUUUCCUCCACCCUCCCUCUCUACACCUUUGUCAGAUCCCUCCCUCCCCCUACCCCCGUCCGCUCCUCCCUCCCUCUUCCCACCCCCUUGGACACGCCCUCCCCCAAGAUAGCCAAUAACACAGAAUCUCUACAGCCGAACCCCUCCCCUGCUCCGGUCGCACAGCCCCCUGCCUCCCGUCACAUCCCCUCCAACCUCAGCCACGUACACCUCCGCAGAAAGAAGCGCCGUUGCUUCUCCUCCAAGGGCUCCUCCAUUGCCUCCCUUCUGGCCCAGCAGCAGAAGCGAGCAGAAGAAGGCACCUCCUUGCUGCAGGAGUUCCUAAGGAGGCAGGAGGGGCAGGCCAAGGAGGAGCAGGGGCAUCGCAGCAGGACAGAGGCCCGGGGGAGGAGGCGCGAGAGGAGGGAGGCGCGCAUGGCAGAGUCCCUGGGUAGGAUGGCCACGGCUCUGGAGCUGCUCUCCUCCAAACAGGACACAGUCAUUGCCCUGCUGCAGAGACUGGCUGAGAGAGACAGGAAGUGACCGUCAUCACCCCGGGUUGUCACUAGCUUCUAUAGCCACAGCCAUAAUUAUGGCUAAACCCCGCCUAUUUUUACUAUUCAUCUUUUAMAUUUUUUWUUUUUAAACCUAACAUUAACCACACUGCUAACCUUAUGCCUAAUCUUAAAAUAAGUACAAAAAGCUCAUGUUUGUUUUCAUGAAUUUUGAGUUUAUGGCUAUAUAAUCUAGUGGAAACGCUGCUGCAGAGACUAGCUGAAGUGACACUGUAAUCGCCCUACUGCAGAGCCUGGCCGAGAGAGACGGGGAGGCUGACUCAGCAUGCGACCGAAGGGGUACUCUUUUUCCCUAUAUUGUGCACUAUCUGAGCUAAAACCCAGUAAAAACCCACCUUGUGUCCCAGGUCUAAAUUGGUCCCUGAUUAGAGGGGAAGAAUUAAAAUUAGCAGUGGAACUGGGUUCGAGGUUCAUAUUCGAAUUUGCCUAAUGUAAGGAAUAGGGUGCCAUUUUGGGCGWAGACUCAGAUAAUGUUAAUUGAUUGUGUUUUAGAAUUUACAAUGGAAUAACAAUUUUGAUUGAUUUAAAUGGUUUAUUAAUUAAUGAUUGAUCAUGAUAAUCAAAGUGAUAUACAAUAGCAGCAUUUGGUUGCAGCAUUUAUGGUUGGAGAAACCGGUAUGGUGAGUGGAAACCACAAUUUAGGCCUACACAGAUGGAUAAGGAUUGUGAAAUAGUAGGCGAGACUUGUUCUCACUAGUCUGGCAUCUGGUCCAACCAGUAACUCCCGAAACACACACGGCCUUCUCAACUGUUUGAUUGUCAGGCAGCAUGCAUGAGGCCGAUUCAGACCGAGGCAGAUGCAGACACUCUGAGACAGGCUUAGAGAACAGCACCUGUCGCUACAAUGGAACCAGUACCUCGGUGAUGGAGAGGGAUCUCCUUAGAAGAGGCACCUUCAGUGGUCAACAUGAGACAGACUGAAGGAACUGAUCCACUCUGAGGGGGUGGGGAUAUCAGAUAACCAAAUUCUGGUUUCACCUUUCACCUCAACUCAUCCAAUGGAGACAGAAACAAUGGGAGGGUGAUUGACUGUACAGUUUAGGUGAUUCAAUAAAAUAAAAUAAAAAAAAUCAUCAAAAACAAAACGAUGGGAGAGGGAACAGAGAGAGACAGAUCGUUCUCCACCCAGGGGAGAAGAAAAGACGAGAAGGACUUAGGAGGGGUUAGAUGCUGGAGCAUCAUGGGACGUCAGUGGGCAUUUGUAAGGACCGUAGUGGUGAGUCUGGGAGCACUCUUUCUCUCUCUUGGAGCAUGGUCAGUACUGGGACUGGAAGACAUAGAGGAGGAGAGUCCAGGGGAAGCAGGGUCACUGCCACCAGCAAGACUGCUGGACUACCACCUCUAUAUGGAGCUGGUGUUGAGAGCCACAGCCAGAGGGGGUGCCAUCGGGCUUCUGAGAGGACUAGCAGCCAUCUCAGUGGUUUGGAUAGCAGAGGUCCUGUCUGGGUCUAAUGGCCUGGUUGCAUCGGUGCUCCGCGCCCCCUUCUUGGGGCUUCUGAUCGGGCUGGGGCUGGGUGCUGCAGAUGGGAUGGGCCGGGCGGAGGAGUUCCUAGACCCUGGGGUGUGGUGGGAGGUUGUGGGUAACGGGGUGAGCGGGGCUGGGGUGGGGGCCAGGGUGGCUGCAGUGAGUGGGGUGGUCAUCGCUGGUUUGAUGAGCAUCAUGACGGUCAGGGCAGUGAAGAAUGUGGCAAAGAGCGGCGAGAUCAGGAUGGCACGGUUCAUUACCGUGUCAGUGGCUGUGGGGGCUGCUAGGAUGGUGCUGUGUUUGGUUCCCGGGUGCAUGGCCACAGGAGCCUUGGUAGUAUCCAUCCUUGGGACCGGGAGGGACCUCCACAACUUGGUGGCCCUAGUCGUGCUGGGGUUGGGGUGGUGUGCAGGGCAAAGGUGGCUUGGUGGUGGUGUGUCAGUUUUCUUGAUGUGGGAUAAAUUGGGGCAACUCUCACCCAGACAUCUAAUAGGAAGGUUAGUGGGCUUGACUGUAGCUGUGGUUGGAUCUAUGUGCCUGGGGUUCUCUCUGCAGAUGUACUCAGCCCUGGUCAGUGUGUUACUGGGUGCUUCUAUAGCCUUUCUGUCCUGGAGGGGUGGGGAGGCUGUUUGUCAAGUUUUUGCUGAGGUGGUAGAGAGAUUAUUUUUAGCUAUAAGCAUCAAUACAUAUCAUGGACAAGAAGAGAGACUUUUGAAUACCUUUGGAUGGGGAAAGAGGCCUCUCAAUGCUUGAUAUAUUUGUCUUCUAAUUUUGUUGUGAUUAAUUACUGUGAUUAGUAGUCUCAAAUGCAUUUAUUUCCCAAUAUGAUUUACUGUUACAAAUGUUAAAAGUUUAGAAUUUGUUGAAUAGUGCUGCAGAAAGUACAUUUUGUAGUGAACUUUAAUAUUUGCAACCACAAAACACAAUAAAACUACAUACCCUUUUCCAGAAA